AUGACUUACGUUGCCACACCCAUGUCGAAUUCUUCAAAAAUACACUACUUUUAAAGAAUCUGACACGCACUCUAAACUACUUUGAAGAGCCCGAGCAACAUAGAAUCAGAUCACUCAUUGUGUUUCAUAUUUUAGAGUCAACUUCCUCCUUAACUAUUAUAAAGUAUGAAAACAAUACAGUGAAGUUGUAGGUAGGCAGGUAACCAAAUGUUUGGU
rnacentral:misc_RNA from 1 species